GAGCUGUAGCAUAGUGAUUAGGGACAUGGACUCUGGAGCCAAAUCUGCCUGGGUUCUAGUCCCAGCUGUCUCA
rnacentral:tRNA from 1 species